UCCUCUUUUGUUUUCAACCACACUUCCCCGCAUUUAACAGGCCCUGCCUGAUGGCUUUAACAGCAUUUCCUGUGGCACUCAUGCUAACACCUCUACCCGCAUUUGUAAGGGUCAGGAAACCUGAGCUUUAUGGCGGUUAAAGUAAGAUGCUGUAUUUUGGUGACGGGGGUGGGGGUUUGAUGGUGUCCAGAGGAGAGUAAGAACACUGACUGAAGCUUUAACCUGUCUUGCUCCCCUGACGUUAUGCGCCAUUAUGAAUAAGUCUCUAUGGACCACAAGGUGAACUCUUUCCCAUUUGGGCUGCCUUAGAACAAUGCCCAAUAAAAUCAGUAAACUGGAUUUUAUAUUUGUUUGCUUUACUGGAAGAAAAAGAAUAUAAAUUCAAAGAAAACAAAGGGUUUUUUUUUUGGCAGGUAUGAAUAAAUUGGUCUCAGUGACCUCAAAUCUA